AUGGCGGCGGCCAAGAAGAGGCCGUGGAAGUGUUGCGACAAGGCCUUCUGCACCAUGUCUAUCCCACCGAUCUGCCGCUGCAUGGACGAGCUCUUCGAGUGCCCCUCCACCUGCAAGUCCUGCGGGCCGUCCAUGGCUGACGCACCUCGCAUUGUCUGCCAGCACCAGUACGUAGGCGACCCCGGGUCAUAUGCCGGCGGUGGGAUUGCUGCGACUCGCCUACUUGUUGUUGGAAAUAUGAGCAAAUCACUACGAGAUUUAAUCUGA
rnacentral:rRNA from 1 species